AUCACCUAGAGAUCUUGUUAAAAUGCAGAUUCUAAUUUUGGUAAGUCUAGGGCAGGUCUUGCAACUCUGCAUUACUAACAAGUUCCCAGGUGAUGCUAA
rnacentral:pre_miRNA from 1 species